UUGUCGGGUAAGUUCCGACCUGCACGAAUGGCGUAAUGAUGGCCAGGCUGUCUCCACCCGAGACUCAGUGAAAUUGAACUCGCUGUGAAGAUGCAGUGUACCCGCGGCAAGACGGAAAGACCCCGUGAACCUUUACUAUAGCUUGACACUGAACAUUGAGCCUUGAUGUGUAGGAUAGGUGGGAGGCUUUGAAGUGUGGACGCCAGUCUGCAUGGAGCCAACCUU
rnacentral:rRNA from 1 species